GAUGAACGCUGGCGGCGUGCCUAAUACAUGCAAGUCGAGCGAACAGACGAGGAUCUUGCUCCUCUGACGUUAGCGGCGGACGGGUGAGGAACACGUGGAUAACCUACCUAUAAGACUGGGAUAGCUUCGGGAAACCGGAGCUAAUACCGGAUAAUAUAUUGAACCGCAUGGUUCAAUAGUGAAAGACGGUUGUGCUGUCACUGAUAGAUGGAUCCGCGCCGCAUUAGCUAGUUGGUGAGGUAACGGCUUACCAAGGCAACGAUGCGUAGCCGACCGGAGAGGGUGAUCGGCCACACUGGAACUGAGACACGGUCCAGACUCCUACGGGAGGCAGCAGUAGGGAAUCUGACGCAAUGGGCGAAAGCCUGACGGAGCAACGCCGAGUGAGUGAUGAAGGUCUUCGGAUCGUAAAACUCUGUUAUUAGGGAAGAACAAAUGUGUAAGUAACUAUGCACGUCUUGACGGUACCUAAUCAGAAAGCCACGGCUAACUACGUG
rnacentral:rRNA from 1 species